CUCGAAGAUGACAUAAUUUGCGACUGAUGGCGGCGCCUGAGACCUCGCCGGGUACUCUUAAGGGUGUCGUCAAUUUGAUUUUCAAUUCUUACAUAUACUGAGC
rnacentral:snoRNA from 1 species